UUGACUAUAAGGAAAAAGCUUUUUACAGUAAGAAUUGUGAGGCACUCAAGAUCAGGCUGGAUGGGCUCCGAGCACCUGUUGGAGCUGUAGGUAUCCUUGUUCAUUGCAGUGGAGUUGGACCAGAUGGCUCUAAGGGUCCCUUCCAACUCAAAUGAUCACAUCAGGCUGCUGUCAUAGUCCUGUGCUGAGGUCUCAGCAGGCCGAGUCUCCUUGCAGCUAAGGUUUGUGGGAGCCUGCUGAACUCUCCCCUGGGCUCUGCAGAAAAUAAACAGAGCACCUGCAAGUCAUGUGGGCUUUUAUAAUACCAAAUUAGUGUAAGGAUAAGAGGGGUGUUGGCACCAUGAAUUGGGCAUUUUGAACAAUUUUGUCUACAGCACCCUACUUGCUACCCAAGGGCACGGAGGAUGAAAGCAAUAGAUUUGGGGCAAUUAGGAGGGAGUAGAGCAAUCAUGCAAGUUCAAGUCAGGGACGAGAACUAGGCCUGGAGGUUAGUAAGCCAGCACAGGUCAUCAUCAUAAAACAAACAUCAGGUCUGUGUGGUGCAAUACCUAGCUGAGGCUAUGUGCUAGAAACAAUGCAGAGGUAAAGUCAAUAACAUUGUGUGGUAUUUAUUUAGUAGCGUUAUGUUGAGAGGUAUUAAUGGACCAGGAGAUCUUUGCAGGGGUUGCCUGGGUGCUGUAUUUCAGGUCUAAGAUGGAGCUGGCCAGGCCUGCUCCCGCGCAGAGCCCGCAGUGCUGCAGGGACGAGGCCGCAGGGCAAGGCGGGGACAAGUUGCCCUGCUGCUCCAGUUACUGCUGCAGGAAGCAGUGCUGACCCACAGCCAUAGGUGCUAGAGGAAGCCCAGAGGAGGUGUUGUGCUGAAGACCCUGAGAACAAGGGAAGGCAGGCAGUCCUGAGCCUUAACCACACUACUGGGGUGGAUUCUUGAGCAAGGCAACUCUCUUCUGCUGCUUGUUUUUAGCCAGAAAAAAACUUUGUGAGCCUCUUUGUGAUUAAACGAACAUAUACCAAGAAUGAACCUGUACAGCUUUGAAUAGCAACAAAUUGGUCACAUGAAUGAUGCCUAAAUUUCAGGCCUCCGUGUCAAGAGCCAUGGACACUUUGCUCUCGAAAGAACCUGAUUUUGCAGGAUGCUCCAGACUGAAUUUGUCGGUAAGACUUAAGACUUCUGUGUGCUUAUCUCUCAAGUGCGGGAAUAGUUUUAGUGAAGCCAUAGCAAUCAUUCACAUAUAAAGUUACAGGCAUGCUUCAGACAAGACCAGAUUGGUGCAGAACCAGUCCUUAUCUCCUGUUCUGGUGAUCCAGUCAGGACCAGUCCCUACAAGUUUCUCUUCAGAGUUUAAACUAAGCCUUUGGUUUGAGAAUUGUGAGGUUUUAUUUUCAUAAUUACCUUUAGUUUCAGAGCUGCCCUUGAGGCUAUUUGGAAUCCAUUGAAAUAUGCUGAAUUCUAAAUCAGAUGUUUCUGUAUUUCGUGUCAAAAGCACAAAUAUGAGGUUUAUGAUACCUUUUGUUUGAUGCUGUGCUCAGAAUCUAUCAUUCCAGCCAAGGUGAUUUUUUUCUUUACAUCAAAGCAUAUGACUUUGGUUUCCCAACUAUUUCCUCAAAUACCUUUUCCAGUUUUCAGAAUAACUGAUGGGGAAAAAAAGUACAUAUAUCAUCAUGAUGCUCAAAAUUGUCAUAGUCUUAACAUGUGACUAGUGACCAUACAAAGUAAAGAAGGGGUCCAGGUUCAUGUUACAGGACAUUCAUGUUCAUCUUACGCCUUGACUCCAGUGGUUGCUGGCUUUAGUACAUUAGUAAUCCAGUCCUAUAGCUGGUCCAGUUCAUCUCUGUAUGUGCAUUUAAGUUCCAAUGUAUUUCUGGUAGUCAGAUUGUUUUCAUGAUGCUAUCCAUAACCAUCUCAAGAUACAUGGCAUUCUUUUUGCAAAGGAAGUUUUCUAGAGAGCAGACAGGAAUUUUUGGUUCUUAUAUUCUUCUAAAUAUUCUUCAUUCUUCCUAUUACUGCUGAUUAUAGAGCUCAUUUCUGUGAUACCACCCUUAAAUUGUUUGCAGGUUCACAUGCCAGUUGCUGAAACAUAACAUAAGGGCUCAUUUAUACCCCAAUGGAGCUCCUGUGUACUGAAGGGAGCUUUUCCUGGACAAAAUAUGUUUUCAGCCUAUCCAAAAUCUUUAAGUCUUCAGAAAAAGUCCUUUAUGUGAAAUUUAAUGCUCUCACUUGAAAGCUAGGCAUGAUAAAAAUACCAGAAUACAAGAUGGGAGGGAGGAGGGGGAAAAAAAAAAAAAAGGAUUUUCUUGCUACAGACUAUUGGGGAGUAUAGCUGUAGGAACAGAUGAAUUCACUUAAUGAAGCAACUUUGGAGUAUAAGUUUUCUAUCUGUAGUCAAAAGACAGUUUUUAUAUUUCAGUAGUAACAGAGUGUUUUCUAAGAAGCUGUGACCUUUAAUAUCAUUAUGUAUGAAUUUGUGUAUGUGAAUGUGAUAUACAAAUAUGUUAAUGAAUCAAACAACUUGGGGCCUUCCAAGUUGAUGAGCUGAUGCAAAUUUCUGAGUCAUCGCACCCAAAACCAUGUUCUAAAUUUUUACACUAUUUUGGGAUGCAGAGGGAACAUCAGAUAUUUUAUCUGACUGAUACCAUCAAGUGCCUUCCAUUAAGUUUCCUAAUGUAUAUUCUAGAGACAGCCAGAUGCACACACACACCUGGAAACGAAUGGCACUGAAAUAAAGUGGCACUUAUUCAAAUUUAUCAGAGAUGCGAAGCAAGUCAGCUAACUACAGCAAUUAAUGUGUAGCAGAAUAAGGCUUCAACAAGUAUUCAAGCUUCAGUUAGUUUGCAUCAUCUCAACAUUUCUCUUCUUCCUUGCUCUUCCCUUGUGCUGCAUUUCCUAGUUCAUACAUACACUGCUACAUACAGAUUCCUGUAUGGAACUGGGCAGAUUCCUGGCAGAUCCAACCAAGGACAGUAAUGUCAGCACAGAGAGCAUUUGUGGAAUGGCCUGGGUGAUAUCUAAUGUAUUGUAGUUUCUGCUGAAUUCUUAUUCCCUUGUUUCUAAUCCUAUAUAAUAGUGACAACUAAGUCCUGCUAUUCUGGAACAUUGCCUUUAAUAAUAGGGAAUUGAAAAAUGGCAGGAGAGUGCUUUCCGGUCCUGCAUUUCUUCAAAGUGUACUUUAACAAUGCACAGUAUUUCUCGAUGCUGCAUAAUCCUAUUUCUGAAUUCCAGCUGCAGUUCAGGCUUUCUUCUUGGUCCUGCUGGAGUUGCUGGCAUUGUUUCAUCUGAUAUAAGGGGGAGUAUGUUCAAAGAAGAAAAAACACACAAAAAUGUGUUUAAAGCAUUUCCAUCCAAUCUGAACAUGAUUUUUCAAGAUCUUGCAGUGUCUGUAGCAUAGGCAGCUACAAUAUCAAUAGCAUUUUACUAACAAUGUACCAGAGCCUUGUAACUCUCCUAUAAUAAAUGAAUUGUAAAUAACACUCUCAGCACAAACAAUUAACAGGAUCUAUAUUGCAUUCUCUCUAUAAAGACUGAGUCAGUUCCCCCAUGCUCUGAGCAUGCUGAAAUUCUCAGAGAAACUGCAACUGAGUGCAGUUAUUAUUGGAUCUAAGUAUUUUUUGUUGUUGAUGAUGUCAUCAUAAAUGAUAAAAUGUAUGAAAUUUCAUACCUUCGUGACAGCACAUCCAAGCUUUACAAAGGUAGGCUGUGGCUGAGUAGUGCAGUUUUUAAUGUUUAGCAUAGGCUAGGAGGAUCAUUUGCAUGAACAUCAAUUUCUGUAGGGCAAAAAGUUUACUAAGAAGCACCUCACUUCUGGUUUCCAGAAAUGAGAAAGUGAAAUUCUGACAUAUGUUUACAAGAAUUGGAAGCUGAACUUCAGGAAGUCACAUGAUUUCCAGUUACACCCCAUAUAUGGGCAUUUAGAUCAUGAAAGCAAUAAAAAAAAAACACUUGCUGUUACAAGUCUGAAGCUGACAUGCAUUAUCUCUGUGUAGCCAUGUUCCCAUGCGUAUGGCAUUAGGUUCUUCCCCCCUUGUUCCAAGAAAUUAUACCACUAGGUAGUUCAGAGAAGUCACAGUCCCAAACUGAAUGUGCAGUGGCUGAUACAGGGAGGAGUUUUCUUUGGAAGCUCAGAAGGACAGUAUCCAGUAGAAAGAAAAGCACAGCCCCUUGUUUGACUGUCAAUAGCUGAAGUCUACAUUAGAAGAGACCUAUUCUGAUUUUGCCUGGAGCUGAAUAACUCUUCAAUGCACCUCCACUGUCACCCCUGCUGGCUCCCUGCUUUAAGGGCUUUCCAAGUUUCUACUGUCUGAGCACUUCACGAACCUCUUUGUGCUCCUGCUUUGUGUGAACAUCCAUCCAUCUUAAGAAAUUUCUCUGUCCAAAUGAAGUAGUGACAGAAGUCACAGCUGGUUAAUUCACCCCACUCACUAUCUUAGCUCAAGUCACUAAAUGAUACACAAAUAUUAUUUAUUUUUAGUACUCCUCAUGGCUGUAUAUGUUGCUUCCACUCUUCCUAUGUUCCUGGUGCUUCAGUAAGAAGAACUUAGAAAAUGGUGAAUUUUAGGAUGUGUUGAGAAACUUGUAUGGACCUUGCUUCCAGGAAGAACAUACUUUGUGCUGAUAAAUAGCAACUUAUCUAAAAAAUACUCAGGAAAGUAUUUCUUAAAUAAGAGCACUUCUCUGGAGCUGAGCACUUGGUAGCUGGCUGUUGGGCUUUUUUUUUUGUUUGCUAUUUGUUUUAGUAUUUCAGCGCCCUGCUGAUAGUGUUGUGAAAUCCUUGCUGGGUGUUUGCCAAUUAACUGAAUAAACUUUUACUUGCUUGAUGAUUUUAUAACUCCUCUGUAUGAAAAAAGUUUGUCAUUUGUUUGACUUCUCUCCUGCAUUUUGUGUAAAAAUGCUCUCACAAAGAAAGACUUUGAGACUUAAAUUCUUGCAGAGUUAUCAAAUACAGCAAUCAGAGUCUGAGCACUUAACAGAGCACUCAUAAUAUUUUUUGUGAUAUUUUUAGUAUUAUUAAAGAUAAUUACUGUUGUAUUAUUAAAUACAUCAAGCUCUCUUAUAUUCUGUAAUGUAAUUUUCCACUUCACUUCCCCUAUUUUUACAUGUAUUAAUACAUCUUCCAGUUAAGGUCUUUUUUCAUUGCUCAUUGUCACACUUCAGAAAACAACUGAGAUUUUGCAAAUUGGAGUCCCAUAAACUGUCCUUCUUUCCAGUGGCCACCCAGCCCCUAGAAGCCAAGGGGUGGGUGAAGGUCAGAAAUAUGACAGUGACACCAAAGACACCAAAUUAAUGAGCAGGGAUAUUUUUUUUUGUUACCAAAGGCUUGAAUGGGAACAAAAAAUAUUCCCCACAAACUGCAGACAUUUCCACUCUGUGAUUGUUGGUAUUAUGUUAGAUAUUUUCAAGCAUUCAGGUAAUAGAUACAAAAUUGGAUGUAUGAGAUAAUGUAUAGAAAUGAUAUCUGGAGGCUACCUUAGCUGUGAGAGAAUGGAAGAAUUCUUAUUCAGUACAGAUGAAAUAAAUUUCUAUCCACAGGGCAUAGGCAUUGAGAGGAAAAUAACUUAUUUGAAACCAAGGGCUAUAACAGCCUAAUUUUGUUCUCUAGACCCAGGUAAAUUUCAUCCUAACACAAUAAAUAAAUACAUAAUAUAAAGUACAGUGCUAUUUCCUGAUUCAUGAUCUUGUUAGACUCCAAAUAAACAUAUAUCAUGCUGGAAUUGCAGUAACACAGGCUAAGUACAUAGAUGGGGAAUUGCAUCCACCUACUGAACAUGAGGAAGGCAUACCAAAGGCAAAUAAUUUAGAGGAGAAUGGAAUUCUCCUUUAGACUCGGUGAUGAUUCUGUUGUGUUUUCCCUUGGAAGAUGGUCCUUCCCAUGUGCAAGUAUUUUUAGAUAUUUCUUAAGCAAAAAAAAAGAAAAGAAAAAAUAAACAAAUUUCAGAUAUUUUGCUAUACAUUAUUGUUAUUCUAUAAGCUGAAAAGCAACUUCAACAAAAUAACUUAUUAGGAUUGGAUUGGGAUUUAGAAUUAGCAGUAUUACCCACAGGGUUCUUAAUCCAAGGAUGGAAGUUGAGCUAGAAGGCAUCAGUAAGCAAUUUAUGGAAAACAAGCACAAAUCAGCAAGCCAACACCAUAGCAGUCAUAGCACAGCCUUUGCAGGGUUUGUGUGGAAGGGAUUUAGCAGAUGAGCCUUGGGUGGCUGAACAAGGUUUAAGGUUUGGGCCAAAUCUGUAAAACUGCUUCUCACCCAGCCUUAAAUCUCAUUUAAGACCUUGAAAUAUAUUCAGGGGUAUUGUGCUGAAAGAGUGAUUUUCACACAUCUAGAAAAAUAUCACAGUAUCAUCUGUGUUGAGUUACAGUAGGGCUCAAAUGUUGCAAGUUGAGGAGGAAGAUGAGAAAUAAAUGGCCAGUGCCUCUUUAAGAAUCCACAAGAGCAAAGCAAUAAAAACGAAAUACAAUAACUCAGAUAAUAAAAACAUUAUCUUACAGAUUUCAUACAAACUUUGCCUUAGGGAAGCCACCUGGUUUGUGUUUUACUGAUACAGCUGUUCAGACUUUUUUGCCUUUUGCUACAUGAAAAGUAGAGGAAUUUGAACAGCUGUCUGGGUUAAUUUUUUUAAUGCCUUCAGUAAGUAAAAAUAAAGGCAAGUGACAUGAAUAAGUGAUGUGAGAUUGCCUCUAAAGAUGCUUUAAAAACUUUCCAGAGUAAUUCCUGGACCUCAUGUGCAGUGAAUGAAGUUGUGUGCUCAGUAGGGGCUGAGCAGGGUAGAUGCUGCUGGACAGUUUCUCCUCUCUCCAUGCAGAUGAGAGUUGCUCAAAUUGGGGCUAACUGGCAAACUCAUUUAUACUGGAAUCUGCCCAAGGUAACCCCGUUGGCUUCACUGAAAUUGCUUAGAAUUUCCAUAACUGAAAUUAAAAUAACUCAACAAACCCAAGCAACAAACCGAGCCAACUAAUUUUGCUGAAAAGCAUCCGUAAUUCUGUUGCUUUCCAGGGAUGUACUCCUCAUUGUGAAGGGAGAAAGUGAACAGAAGUGGUCAGGAUGUCUGAGCAGACAUCAUUUCUCAGAGAGGAAGGUUAUUUUUGCUCUUUUCCAAAUUGCAGUGUUUUGGUGGGAGGAAAAAGCCAGUGCUGAUCCGUGCUCCCUGCUGACACACAGCACACGAACAGCAUCCCAGCAGGUUGAAGUCUGGUCCAGUUUGACCAGGUGAUGGAAUGAAGCAAGUGGGAACCGCUUUGCUUUUUGUUGCCCAGUGUUUCAUACACCUCUAGCAGCAAACCCUCUUUGUUGCCAAGACAACCCCGAAGAAAUCCGAAAUCCAGAACAAUACCCUGUGCACGAGACGCCUCGUAUUCGAUAGUGCGUGCGUUCAUUUUGAAUGUCGAGAGGAACACUGCGCUCCACAUCACCCCAGGUAAGUCCAGGUGAAGGUGUAGGUGCUGUCUGGAAGGUGAUAAUGGCUUGCAUUUAUAGAUUCUUUUGUCCUAGCGGCUGCCAAAGCUCCAGGGCUGGCACUGAGAGCCUGCUCAGUGUAAUUCCUGCACUGCAGCACUACCUGAAGCUUGCUAGGAUGCUUCCUGGGGCUGUCCCAAAAAAACUCCAGGGCAGGAGCACUGACUGCUCUCCCCAGCCCCUGCUGCAUGUGAGGGUGUUGCCAUGAGCACCAGGCUGUCAUGAUGUGCUUUUGCAGUGGUUUCUAAAGAUUUCUCAGGCAGCUGAAUGCAAGUUAGUGCAGCCAUGAAAGUCUUUUCACUUAAUAAUUGGGACUGGACAGAGCUGUGCUUGGCCUCUAGGUCAAAGGAAAUGUAUGUGUGACUUAAGCCUCUUUGCGUAAGGUCUUGGCUCCAUGCAGGACAGUGCUAGAGCUUUGGGUUUUUUAAUGCUUAUUUAUUUAUUUAACCCUGGUGAAUGUAAAUUGGACAGAGGUCCAAGAGGUCAGAUUAAACACCUCCAUUGACGAUUAGGGUUAAGAGAUUUUUCUGUUUCUUUUUCUGUUUCUUAGAGAAAUGCUACGUACAGUUUGAAAACAUGUCUCACUUUUCUGAAUUCUCUCCAGAUCAUCUUUUCCCAUUUUAUUGUCAGUGGUAGA